GUUAGGGUGGCAGAGCCUGGCUACUGCGAGAGGCCUAAAACCUUUCAACGGGGGUUCAAAUCCUCCCCCUAGCU
rnacentral:tRNA from 1 species